rnacentral:lncRNA from 1 species
CCUUUUUGUCGUCACCGGCGGUGGUGAGGACGGCGGGUUCCUAGAAGUGGGUUUGAUGGGUGAAAAAUUUGCUGCGAUGGAGGUGGAGGUGGAAGUGGGUCGCGAAGGGCCGCGGAGCCUGUGAAGGAGGUUUGGAGAGGAAAAAAAGGAGGAUCGUGGCGCAGCCUCGGUGGGGUCGGAGGCGAGAAGAGCUGGGGGUGAGCGGGCGCGGGCGAGGGCGCAUACGGCGGAGGCAAGGAGGGGUGUCCCAAAGGGUGGCGGCGAGCGCAGCCUUAGUGGGGUCGAAGGCGAGGAGGGCGAGUGGUGUGCAAACGCGGGUGAGGGCGCGGGGGUUAGAGGCGAGGCUGGCCGUCGCCG